CGCAGGGUCACCUCGCGGGGCGGUGACCGUCGCCGGCUUUCGAGCACGGCCUCCCGUUGCCCCGAGGGAAGGUCGGUUGGAUGUCCCGAAGAAUUUCUUCUCCGACAGAGCGGCGAUGCGUCGGCUGCCCCAGGAGGCGGGGCGGUCCCCAUCCCUGGUGGCGCGAGACGCGGCACGGGGGGACGUGGGCAGUAUUGGCGGCAGGCGGGCCAUUGGGCUGGAUGACCUUUGAGGUCGCUUCCAACCUCAUGGCUCUCUUUAGACACGCCCGGGGCCAACUCCAUCCUGCACGCUGCUGUCGGCUCUGAGGUCUGAUCGGAGGCCUUCUCCUUUCCCUCGAGGCGCUGCUCGGCCGCUGUGUUGCUGCAGGGGUGCUGCGUGAGCGCAGAGCACAGCCGGCUUUGUCCACCCCGACAGGCUCGCCUUUCUUCCUGCCUAGAAACACCGCUGCGGGACUCGCCCCCCCCCCAGGGAAAGCAGAAGCUCCAGCGCGGGGCUGGGGACUAGAAGAGCCCCGUUAUGUGCUACGGAACAAAGGGAACAUAGAGCGAGAAGCCACCUCGCUUCGCAGAGCACCCCGGCUCCCACUCCAGCUGCUCCGUGCCGGGGGAGCAGCAGCACUGAGCCCUCCCGGGUCCCGCAGAGCUGCAAAGGAGCACGAGGGGCAGGUGCAGAGAGUGCAGGCGUAAGGAGGAGCCGGCAGCACCGCCGGACCGCAGGUUGUCAGACAGACCCCGCCAUCUCAUAACGUUAGGGUUGCAGAGAUGCAUCAGCAUCACUCCGGACGGCUUCUCUGCCGCCGUAGGCCAACGCUUUGCUCAAGCACGUGAAUCUAACAGAUAGAACUCCCCCCUCAACCCGCCGUGCUUUGAAACGCACCCAGCAACACCUGUCCCCAGCAGAGCCAGCCCUGCCCCACGUCGGAGCUGGGUUCCGUCGGGCUGGGUGUGGAGGUGCCGGCCAGCAUCUCUGCACGACAGCGAGCCUGAGAAGCUAAUUAGCGCCCGUUUGCUGCUUUCAGAGAGGAGAUUCUGAGCGCUGUUGGUAAACUCAUUUCAAGGAGUCGCACUCAAUUUGCAGUGACGGAUGCUCAUCGUGGCUUUGUUCCCACAUCUACAAAGAGCAGCGCCGCAGAGGGGCUUUGAUGAUCCCUCUCGUUUGGACAGCUGGCAGGGAGCAGGAUGCACGCAGGAAUAGAAGGGCACACGGGAGCCACGGCGUCCCCUUCACGAGAGCAAACGGAGAGGCUGGGCGUCUGUAAAGUGGGGGAUGUGGGGUUCUAUCCUAGUGAUGCAACUGGAAAGUGAAAGCUCUCGCACUGCGUGGGAGAGCAGAAAUCCGCUCUGCGUCUUGAAAUAGUUGCACGUGAAGUCCUGCCCUCAACUUGCGACCUGCAACCUGCACGGCAUGGCUCUCAGGAGCCCAUUGUAGGGGCGGUUGUUGCACUGCUGGGCUCCUCCAGCUCUUGGGGGUCAGCGUGGCAUCGCACACCCAGGGACGUUGGCGUCAGGGGGAGCCAAGCCCAGCAUCGUCAGCACAGCUGUCAGGGCCCCGGCUGGGCCCUAAUGAGGCCCCCAGGUGCCACAGGGCUGGGCUGCCCUAGCACAGCUGCGCCUUAUCGGCAGCUCAGGGCAGGGCCCGCCCUCAACGCCUCUUAAACCCCCACCAGAGCUUGCUGGGAUCCACUGGGGGCUGCUGGGAGCUCAGGGGCUCAUUCAGGGCUUGCCGCAGCAUGCUGCCAGGCUCCCACACUGCUCUCUCUUUUUGGGGAGGGUGCUGGGCUUCUGCUGGGCUUUUUUGGGGUCUGGUUUCUGCUGGGCUCCUCUGCUCUUUUGGAGUCAUCGUGGGGUGGCCCUGCUGGGCUCUGGCCUUGUUUUCUUCUUUUUGGUGGUGGUAUGGGAUUGCUGUUGGUGCCCCUGCCCUCUUUGGGUCCAGCACAGGGCUGCUCUUGGCUCCCCUCUGCUCCUUAGAGCCUAUGCAGCACUUUUGCAAAGCAGCUCUCCUAGCCCCUUUGUGGGGUUAGUUAAGGGCAGUUUGCAGGUGCCGCAGCAAUGGAGGAGAGCAGGAUGGAGCUGCACCCCUUAGCCCGGAGCUGCUGGGGGUCAGAAGCAUCGCAAGGGGCUGCUUUCAAAACAGCAAAUGCUGGGGAUAUCCAUUUAAUCACGUUUGUUCUCUCUCCUUUUUGUUUCUCUCUUGCAGGGCGAGAGCUCCAGCGAGGAUCAGCCCGCAGUACCGAGCGGCUGUGGCAGCGAUGGGAGCGUGGAGCUGAGUCCCGGGGGUCCGGGCGAGCACGUUCCCUCGUGCCCAGACCCCGGGGGCUCUUUGCUUGCAGCAGGAGGAUCCUUUUGCCCUUCUAUUGGGGUCGAUGCAGUGCUGCUGCUGGGCUCCCUACCUUCUUUUUCUGGGUUCUGCUGGACUCCCCAAGGCAGAGCGCAGCCCUGGGGGUGCCCACUGCCCCCCUUGGUUGCAGCAGCGGGGGCGUGCAGGAUGGAACCACGGUUGUCCCCUCCCCAGCCCUAUUGCUGCUGGGAGUAAGAAGCAACGCCAGGGACAGCUAAGUUGAAAGCAGUGCUUUAAAUCACUUGCUGUGCUUUUAUCUUUUUGAUUUCCCCAAAAAGCUGUUGCAAGGUAAGGUGCUUUGCAGCAGGGAUCAGCCCAGAGAUGCAAGGUUCCCGCUGCACUGGGACCGCAGAGACGAGCACUGGGAUGUGGCGGUGUGAAUCUUUAGUUUUACUCAUGAAUUUUGUUCACAGAACCACAGGAUUGUAGGUGCUGGAAGGGACCUCCGGAGGUAAUGAAGUUAACCCCUCUGCAAACUGCAUCAUAGAGGUGCUCCAGGCCCUGCAUCGUCUUUGUGGCCCUCUGCCAGACUUCUUCCAGGAGAUCCCUCUCUUUGUUUGUACUGAGGAGCCUGGAAUGGGAUGCAGUACUGCAGGUGUGCAGCUCUGCAGCCCUUCCUGUGGGACGGCAGCACAGCCUUCCGGUGCAUCAGCUGCUCUUCCAAGGCCAGUUCUCAGCCCACCUCCCUGCCCACUCAUGUUGGGAUGUUGCGGGAGGAAAAAAUCCAGCAGCAUUUCUGAUUCAAGGUAGAUGACAUCUGCUCUCUCCUCCGUCUGCAUGCCUGGCGAUGCCAUUGUGGAAGACUGAGGGCCUUGGUUUGUGGGUUUCACUACAGCAGCGGCCCCUCAGAGGAGGUUUGAGGAGCUGUUCUCGCCACAGGGGCAGGGCUGGAGCAAGGUCCUGGUGCCCUCUGUCUAAGGGAGGAAGGCUGCCAGCUGUGCCCUUGUCCCCUGUUGGGGUUGUGGGGUGAUGGAGCUGCUUGGCGUCCAGGAGGAGCUGAGGGGAUCUGGCAGCUGUCUGAUGUUUUGUGUUCCUGAUGGGAGCAGUGGCUUCUGUGAGCAGUGCCAAUUGUCCAGCUUUCCCAGGGUGUGGAGGAGCAGCAUGAUGGGGGCUCCCCGUGCGAGACCAAGGAUUUAAGCUGCUGCUGCUCAGAGUGGUGUGGUUCCCCUUCUGUCUGUGGUAAGCUUGAGGUGGAAACAGAAGUGGUAGAUUUCAAAUGUCUGCAGGAGAAGAGAACAUGCUUGAGCUGGAGCUUGAAAUAAUGCUCUUGAGUGGGGAGGCUUGCUGCUUUGCUCUAUCAAAGGAAACAAAAACUAAAUUGAGCAAGGCAACUCAUGAGGUUUGAUGUACAGAGAAAAGAAAUCUGGCACUCACCCUCUAAUGCUUGGAGAUCUGCUCUUCAUCCUCUGCUCCCUCGAAGCUGCUUUAUUUCAGGUACCCUUAUGCAUCUAGAAGAAAGCAAGUAGCCUGCAUUGAAGAAUGUUUUCCAAUAUGUACAAGUUUGUAUUGAUAUUGAUGGUUAAAUGUUAUUAAUAAAUGGGAAAGAAUAAAUAUUUGUUACAGCUGACUGCUAUCAUUACACUGUGUCUCUACAUAAGAGUAUGUCUAUAUGUUGUUUCUUCUAGAAGCAUGCAAUACAGAACAAGGUGAGCACUGAGAAAGCUGUAGGUCCUGGGAGCUCUGCAGAGUCCCUUCCACUACAAACAGUGCU
ensembl:lncRNA